rnacentral:lncRNA from 1 species
AGCAAUCAAGAGAACUGCCCUGAAGAAGUCGAUUCACCAGCCUUCUUCUUUUUCUUCUUGUAUGGAAUCCCCCUUGCCUUAGACUGACACUCCCUCACCUCUCGAAGAUAAAUCCGGAUCGCGCCACUGGCAAAAGGAUUGGUCUCUGGUGAGCCACCAUUUUCCUCGUAAGCAGCUCGAAGCCUCCCAACCAGUGCAUCAAGGCUGCCCCAAGCCUGUCUCAGUGGGCAAGUGCAAGGAGCUGGCGGCUCGGGCUGUCCAAAAAACAUACAUCCUUGGAGGUGAACUUUAGUCUUUCCAAACUGAUCCAGAUAUCGAAGGAAGUCAAGCACAUGGUUGCAAUUGCACUGUGACAGUGGAACUGGGGGCCUCUGGUUCUUCAAGUACUGGCCAAAGGUGUUCCAGUCUCGCCGCUUCUGCGACUCAUAUC